rnacentral:rRNA from 1 species
UACGGAGGGUGCAAGCGUUAUCCGGAUUCACUGGGUUUAAAGGGUGCGUAGGUGGGAAUGUAAGUCAGUGGUGAAAUCUCCGUGCUUAACACGGAAACUGCCAUUGAUACUAUGUUUCUUGAAUUUUCCGGAGGUCAGCGGAAUAUGUCAUGUAGCGGUGAAAUGCUUAGAUAUGACAUAGAACACCAAUUGCGAAGGCAGCUGACUACAGGGACAUUGACACUGAGGCACGAAAGCGUGGGGGAUCAAAACAGG